GACGAACGCUGGCGGCGUGCUUAACACAUGCAAGUCGAACGGAAAGGCCUGCUUUCCCUUGUGGAUUGCGGGUACUCGAGUGGCGAACGGGUGAGUAACACGUGAGUGAUCUGCCCCCAACUUGGGUAUAAGCCUGGGAAACUGGGUCUAAUUCCCGAUAGGACUGCAGGGUGGUGCCUGUGGUGGAAAACGAUUUUCUAGUGGUUGGGGAUGAGCUCGCGGCCUAUCAGCUUGUUGGUGGGGUAAUGGCCUACCAAGGCGGCGACGGGUAGCCGGCCUGGGAGGGUGGACGGCCACAUUGGGACUGAGAUACGGCCCAGACUCCUACGGGAGGCAGCAGGGGGGAAUAUUGGACAAUGGGCGGAAGCCUGAUGCAGCGACGCCGCGUGGGGGAUGACGGCCUUCGGGUUGUAAACUCCUUUCGACCGCGAGGAAGCCACCUGGUUGGAAGGGUGGUGACGGUAGUGGUAGAAGAAGCACCGACUAACUACGUG
rnacentral:rRNA from 1 species